rnacentral:rRNA from 1 species
UCCGUAGGGGGCAAUCGUUGUCCGGAAUCAUUGGGCGUAAAGCGCGUGUAGGCGGCCACGUUAGUCCGUUCUGAAAGCCCGGGGCUCAACCCCGGGAGGCGGAUGGAUACUGCGUGGCUCGAGUCCGGAAGAGGCGAGUGGAAUUCCUGGUGUAGCGGUGAAAUGCGCAGAUAUCAGGAGGAACACCAAUGGCGAAGGCAGCUCGCUGGGACGUGACUGACGCUGAGACGCGAAAGCGUGGGGAGCAAACAGG